UCCGUGGUGUCUCAGUUGGUAGAGAAUCCACCUGCAGUGUGGGAGACGUGGGUUUGAUCCCUGCAUUGGGAA
rfam:TPA: Bos taurus chromosome 6, whole genome shotgun sequence.